UGGCGGAACGGUGAGUAACGCGUAGGUAUCUAUCCUUGGGUGGGGGACAACUGUGGGAAACUACAGCUAAUACCGCAUGAUAACUGAGGUUUAAAGGCGCAAGUCGCCUGGGGAGGAGCCUGCGUACGAUUAGCUAGUUGGUGGGGUAAAGGCCUACCAAGGCGACGAUCGUUAGCUGGUCUGAGAGGAUGAUCAGCCACAUUGGGACUGAGACACGGCCCAA
rnacentral:rRNA from 1 species